AAAUUCUUUCGGGGCAGGGUGAAAUUCCCAACCGGCAGUAAAUUAAGCCUGCGACCUGUGUUCUUUAGAGAACAUGGCUGAUCUAGUGAGAAUCUAGAGCCGACAGUAUAGUCUGGAUGGGAGAAAGAAUGA
rnacentral:ncRNA from 2 species